UUUGGAUUUUUUUUUUUAAAUUUUUAUUUAUUUAUGAUAGUCUCACAGAGAGAGAGAGAGAGAGGCAGAGACACAGGCAGAGAGAGAGGCAGGCUCCAUGCACCGGGAGCCCGACGUGGGAUUCGAUCCAGGGUCUCCAGGAUCGCGCCCUGGGCCAAAGGCAGGCACCAAACCGCUGCGCCACCCAGGGAUCCCUGAUUUGGAUUUUUGAACAAGUUGUUUCCCUCCUUACGUAGCUUUGAAUCCCCCAAGUCCUUGCUGAUAGUGUUAACCUGGUCAUAUUUUUAUAACUCAAGGAAAACUUUAGCUGCACCAGAGAGAGGAGCUUUCAUGAGGCAAAGUUCCUGAGGAGUCGGAUUUGGGGAUAAUCCACUGCCAAACUUUAUGUUCCUGAAGUCUCCACCAGGAAUGUUGCCCAGAUGUCUCCUUUCCUCUCACAGGAGGUAGAGGGGAAGAGGUCAGACACUGGAAAACACAACGGUGAGAUUCUGAGGAGAAGAGUGGGUGGGCCACCUGCUGGUGAGACAGAGACAGGAUACAAGACCCCCGACAAGUCACCUGUAUGUUGCUUUCCUUCACCUUUUUGAUUUAGGAAACACUGGUUAACUGAGAGGCCAAGAGAAUGUGGCAUUUUUAAUUUGGCUACCGCUCCUGAGCCAUUAUGAUCCUCAAAGAUGCCCCUACCGUGGGAUACCAUGAUACACAACUUGUCUCUUGGCAGAUUUCUUAGGUCUGAUCCACUAGAAAUCACAGUGAUUCCAUCUUCUCCCUCUGUGCUGGGCAACAUGGUAGCCAUGAGCCACGCGUGGCUACUUACAGGUGAACUAAUUAAAAUGAAGUAAAAUGUAAAGUUCAGUUCUUUAGUCACCCUGGCCACAUUUCAAGUGCCAUCUAGCCACGUUGGACAGUGCAGAUAGAACAUGUAUGCCAUUGCAGAAAGUUCUACUGGACAGUGAUGUUCCAGUUAUCCGAGAUAGAAGUUGAAAGUGCCAGGUUAUGGAAGGAUCAGCCAGGGAACUUGUUCCAAAGGUCACAUACUCUUUUUGCCUUCAACUCAUGAACCCUGUACGCAUCUGCAGUGACCAUAUUAAAAUCCAGACAGAUAGACAGUAAAAAGAGCACACAUGCCUUGUGAAAAUGCUAUACAUUUUUAAAGUAAUCAUCAUGUAACUUUUAGUGUCUCUUUUGGAGGAUGUUAUUUAUUGUAAGACAUCAUUUUUAUUAAAUACACUGUAGUACAAGAGACUUUCCAUGUCAGGUUGAGAGAAGCUGGUCACAUGAUUUACAAACAAAACUUUUUUUUUUUUAAACACUGAUAUUCUGGUGUCACUUUGAAAUCAGCCAAGAUGCAGUGGGUCUUAGUAAAGCAAUGGACCUCAAAACAGAUCGCAAAACAAGAACCAGUAAGUAUCAGCACAGAGACGUCACAUUAAAAAGAAAAUAAAGCAAAUAAAAAGAGAGUUCCAAAUACCAGGUCACAAUUUAAAGGGCAAUAUAUCUUCAGAGAGAUAUUGAAAUGUGUGUGUGUAAAUGGCCUGGAUAUAUACAAACAUCUCUCCAUGUACAGAAGCAGAUGCAGAGAGUGUCCCACAUCUCUAGGCAGAUUUGUAAGUGAUAGGUAAUGAUCAGUGAAUGCAGGGAGCAAUAUUUCACAAGAAUUUGGUCAUUUGUCAAGGGAUUACAUAUUUAAAAUCCACAUUUAAUUCAAAGACCUCGUAUUUAAAACAUUUCCAGUUGUUUUAUACAUUAUUAAAGCAAUAGUAAGAUAUACAAGCUGCAAGAUGUAGUAGGCCUUUAUACAUUUCAUUUCAUUUUCUCUGAUUUUUUUUUCCAGUCCAAACAUGUGGCUAUUAGUAGCUUUUAUUAUGCUUGCUCCGUUACAUUGAACGUUCAGCCAACCUUCACUCAGGAUCCUUUUCAUUAAUGCACAGACCAAAGGGGGAAAAAAAAAACCAAACACGGACCUGGCCUAGAAUGCAUAGACUAAAAGAAUGACAUCCCCAUGUGUUUCCAUUUCGUCUCCUGAGACGUAUGUUAAGAUGGCAAAAAGAGUUGCUUGGUUGCUGUUGUGAAUUUCACAGUGUUUUGCCUGCAACACAUAUACACACACAUAUAUAUAUUUUUUUGCUUUGCUUUGUGUUUGUGAUGAAUGGAGCCAAAAAAAUAUAUAAAUAAGUGAAUGAAUGAAUAAAUAAAUAAAUACAUACAUAAAUAAAUACAUAAAUAAAAGUAGAAGGAAAAGGGGGCACAAUGCAAAAACUGAGAAUAUUCAAGAGCCUUUGACUUGAGCAGCAGUGAUUCAUUCUAGCCCUAACAAUGAGAAAAUAGCCUUCCACGUGCUGUCAUAUUUAACUACAAAUCCCUCCCAACCCUAAUUCUUUAGAAGAACAUUUGCUAUCACAACCUGGGAGUCUCUGCAUGCCACAAUUACACACUGUGAAGGAAGUGCUUUAACCUUCAUUAGCCAUUUGAGGAUUGGGUCACCAGCCAUUCCCCAUUUUCUGUAAUGUGUCAAACCGAACUCAGCAUUGGAAACAAAAAUCCUCAAAUGGGAGAAAAAGAGAAAGAGGGAGAGAGAGAGAGAGCAAGAGAAUUAAGGGUGUGUGUGUAUGGAGUCAUUUAUUUAAUUAGAUAUACAGUUUAAAACCAUUGGCAUUAUAGAAGAUUUGCAAAAAGAAAAGGUUAAAAAGAAAAGUCUGUUCUUGACCAGGGGAUCCUUUUGUCAUGGCUCUUUGCAAAGGACAGCAUUUUAUACUGUUGUUGCUUUGCAUUCCCACUCAGACACGGAAAUUCCUAAGAGUCGCUCGCCUUGUGGUGAGGUCUUGGACUUCUCACCACUGACUUUUGAGACACUGGGUUCCCGACAUUCUGAUUCUCUUCUGGAAUGCUUGGACUCUGAACACAAGUGUAAAGGGGUCACAGUGGGACAAGGUGAGCAUGAUACAAAUGUGCAAAAAGAUGGAAAAAAAUCAAUUUUCCUUUCCUGGACCUUUACAUAAGGAGAUCUAUUUCAGUCUGCAUUCUCCUUUGCAAGGAGCCAGGGAAAGGACUCAAUGUAGUGGGAUGGCUUUGAUUCAGUUGUUUUGGGAAGCACAUUACCUUAAAUAUGUCUUCCACCCAUGCAGUACUGCACAGAGUUGAAAAGUGCGAUGUAGUCCUACCCACAUGGAGAAUGGAAGCACUAACCGCAAUAGGGCAUUAAAAAGUUUUGGUUAUUUAGCAGAUUUUAAGCAAAUUAUUCAUACUGCACCCUACUUAGAAUUAUCUCUAUUACUGUGUGCCUAAACAUUUAUACAUAAGCACACAGACACACUGUGCCUGUGUGUCUGUCUAUGUAUAAAUCAAGUAUUUAUAACACACAUAUAAAUACAUGAAAAUACCACAGCGUGGAUGUGAACACAUCUGUAUAAUGUGAAUUCUGAUAUGAUCUUCUAUAGCAUAGUUCAAAAUGCUUUCUAAAUAAGCCUGAUUAUGACGCUGGUUCAGUAUACAAGGACUUCACUGAAGCUAUAAGCAUGAUUAUAUAUCACAAUAUUUCAGCUGCUUGUCAUCUCAGGUAUUUCAUUUUGUUCUUCCAACUUCAUGUCCUGCUUCAUGAAUUUAUCACCGUGCUUGCUUUCUUGGACUGUUUGUCUGAAUCCGGGAGUCUCUAGUGGACAGAAUCAUGAACUUCAGAGUCAGAACACUUAGAUCAAAUCC
rnacentral:lncRNA from 1 species